CACGAGCGCAACCCUGUCCUUAGUUGCCAUCGGGUAAUGCCGGGAACUCCCCCUUUAAUGCCGGUUUUAAGCCGGAGGAAGGUGGGGAUGACCUUAGUCAUCAUGGCUCUUAUGUCCAGGGCUGCACACGUGCUACAAUGGCCGGUACAAAGGGUCGCGAUACCGCGAGGUGGAGCCAAUCCCAAAAAACCGGUCUCAGUUGGGAUUGCAGUCUGCAACUCGACUGCAUGAACGUGGAAUUGCUAGUAAUCGCGGAUCAGCAUGCCGCGGUGAAUACGUUCCCGGGUCUUGUACACACCGCCCGUCAAGCUAGAAAAGUCGGAUAUGCCUGAAGUCGUGGGCCCAACCCGCAAGGGAAGGGAGCGCCUAAGGUAAAGCUGGCGAUUCGAGCUAAUUCGUAACAAGGUAGCCGUACCAGAAGGUGGGGGUGGAUCC
rnacentral:rRNA from 1 species